UACAGAGGGUGCGAGCGUUAAUCGGAAUUACUGGGCGUAAAGCGCGCGUAGGCGGCUUUGCAAGCCGGAUGUGAAAUCCCCGGGCUUAACCUGGGAACUGCAUUCGGGACUGCAUUGCUAGAGUAUGGGAGAGGGAAGUGGAAUUUCAGGUGUAGCGGUGAAAUGCGUAGAUAUCAGGAAGAACACCCGUGGCGAAGGCGGCUCUCUGGAACGCAACUGACGCUGAGACGCGAAAGCGUGGGGAGCAAACAGG
rnacentral:rRNA from 1 species